rnacentral:tRNA from 1 species
GGGAGUGUGACUCACUGGCAGAGCGUUUUUCUAGUACACACAAGUCCUGGGUUUGAUCCCCACCACACACA